rnacentral:rRNA from 1 species
UAGGGAACCUUCCACAAUGGGCGAAAGCCUGAUGGAGCAACGCCGCGUGAGUGAAGAAGGGUUUCGGCUCGUAAAACUCUGUUGUUAAAGAAGAACAUAUCUGAGAGUAACUGUUCAGGUAUUGACGGUAUUUAACCAGAAAGCCACGGCUAACUACGUGCCAG